ACUUAUUCCAAAAAGCCAAGGUCAAUGUGGGCCUUUGAACAUAAUCACAAAAUGAGGAACUAGUUCCUCCCACUUGUCCAUGAUCUACUACCCACCUACAGGAACUACACACCAAAUAUUCCUGGAUCUUUAGAUCCUGAUAAUCUCAGAGAAGUUAGACCACUCCCUCCUUGUUCAAAUGGGAAAACUGGGUUUGGAAAGGUGAGAAAAGUGAUGACUCAAGACCAAUACUCAGGCCACCUGGCCCCUGGCCUCCAGUAUAAAUUCAGGGCCUCCCUGAGAACGAGAAGCUGCUUGAAGUUAACCCACACUUGUGGUUCACUGUUACUUGCAGCUGAGAGCACCCUAAACUGUUAUGCUUCUCUUACCCCAGGUCUCUUCUCUCCACACACCUCUAUUUCUGUGUUUUGCCCUUCCUCCAACCAUUUUUGUCAUCAGACAGCAUUAAAUGUAGGGGGGUGUGUGUGAAUUUUGAGUGAGGACAAAUCCCCCAGCAAAGAGACUUCCAUUAAAACAAAUUCGUACUUGUUGCCUUAUCUCUAUUCCAGAGGCAGAGAUGCCCAGCAGAAUGGUCUGCCUGAAUGGAUUUGCCUAGUUAUAAUAAAUCUGGGGAUCUCUAGGAGUGGGAGAGCUCACUCCUCUGCCUGCAAACCAGUCACCUGGUCUUCUGCCCCAAGAACCACAUCAUCGAUUCCAUUGCUCACUCAUGAAUAAGCUUUGUGCUGAAUGAUUUUGGCCCCAUGGCCCUGAUCCCUUAAAUGAAUGCCCAGGAUAUGACAGCCCCCAAACACAUUACUCUUCUUCUAGUUCUGGAUGGAAAAUAUUAUAUAAUGCUUAAGGCUGGACUUGUUCCUAAGCCCUUGAAAUCUUCAGGCUCUUUGAGACCAGGGACAAAACCGUAUUUCUUCUAUAUUUCCCCAAAUUAUGACUUGUAAGGAAGAUAUAUAAUAAUUAAAAGUCCUUAUUAAUUGAAUUCUGCCAACAGACUAGCAACUCCCCAGACUGAUAACAAAGCCAGGCAAAGCAGUUGUCAGUUUGAGGAUGGCAUCUGUGGAGGCAAGCUCCUGCUCUCCCUGGCUUCUUCUUGAUCCAGGCAGAGAACAUAAAAAUUUCUUGCAUCAGAUACCUGAUUGAGCCCCAGAUCAAGGCAAAAUGCCAAUGCUUACAUGAGCUCUGUACUUCCCAUCUCCUACCUUGGGCUAUAAUUAGCAGACUGGGAAAUCAGGAGGUAUGAGAGCAUGUCUUCAAAAUUGAAUGGAAAUCAAUGGGGAAAUGACUUGCUUUACCGAAAUCUGUUCCACAUGCAAAGUUCCAGGAAUAUUUUAAAAUAAGGUCUAUUACAGGUUAAAUGCAACAUCUAAAUAACCUUCAGAUUAUCUAGCCAAUGACAUUUCUAGAUGAUCUUUAAAAUGCCUCCCAUCAUAUCUCUUUCUAAAAGAUGUAGGAGAAGUAGGAAUAUUAAUAAAUUAGUUCAUACUUAUGAAUAUUUCUCACAGUCUUUCCAAUGCUCUUCAGUCCCUUAAUAAUCUACAUGUAAUUUUAAAACUUUUUAUUAUGGAAAUUUCAAACAAAUAUGUAAGUUAAGAGAACAGUGUAAUGAACCUUCAUGUACCCUUAACCCAACUUAAAUAAGUAUCAAUUCACAGUCAGUCUCAUUUUCUCUGUACUCCAAUUCAUUUUCCCCAUGUUCUCCAGAUUAUCUUGAAACAAAUCUCAAGUAUAUCAUUUAUUUUAAAUAUUUCAGCAAGCUAUAACCAUUGUUCAGUGCAGUUCUCAAAAAGGCUUUUUCUGGAUCACUCCUGAUUUUUAGUAGUCAGUAGUUGUUUAAAACUUUGAUACAGUUCGUACAAAAAUAAGCAUAUUUACUUACAAAUUUCUUUACACUGAUUUAGUUAGUUCAUCCAUUUGUCCAUCCAUUUGUUCAUUCAUCACACGUCAGAAACAUUUAUUGGGAAUUCCCUUGCGGUCCAGUGGUUAGGCUCCAUGGUUCCACUGCAGGGGGCAUGGGUUCAAUCCCAGGUCAGGGAACUAAGAUCCUGCAUGCCACAGAGCCAGAAAAAAAGAAAAAGGUUAUUAAGUACUUAGUAUGUACUGGACCUACUGGAAUUCUGGGAAUACAGCUAUGAACAAAGUAGACAAGAACCCCUGAUAUUAUAUUUUGGUAGGGAGAGGAAAAUAGUAAACAAAUUAGAAAAUUCAUAAACAAGUUUAUUUCAAAUGUCAAGAAAGAAAGGAACAAGGUAAUGUGAUAGUAACUCGGCCUGGUGGAAGGAGGGGAGGUGUGACAUUUCAGCUGAUACCUGAAGAAUAUAAAAGAACAGCAAUUUGAAGACUGGGUAUAGAGUGAACCAGGCAGAGAAAAUCAAAAAGACUGAGGCAAGGAAGAGAUUUCUGUGUCAGGGAACAGCAAGGAACACAGUGUAAAUUCAGCAUAAUAAACAAGGGAGAAACUGGUCAGACAUACAGCUGGAGAGUGUGGUAGACAGUGACCCCCAACAAAUCAUCCCUUCCAAUAUUCAUGUCCUUGGUAUCCUGCAUGCCACACAGCCAGAAAACAAAAAGAAAAAGUUUAUUAAGUACUUAGUAUGUACUGGAGCUACUUGGAAUUCUGGGAAUACAGCUAUGAACAAAGUAGACAAGAACCCCUGGUAUUAUAUUUUGGUAGGGAGAGGAAAAUAGUAAACAAAUUAGAAAAUUCAUAAGCAAGUUUACUUGAUCGUGUGCUUUGCUUUGGCCAGUGGGACAUUAGCAAGCAUGGUAGAAGGAGACUGGAUUAGCACUUGCACACUAGAGCUUGUCCUCUUGGAACGCUGUCUCUGGAAGCUAGCCACCAUGCUGAAAAGUGACUUGAGCUAGACUAGUGAGUGAUGAGGGGCCACAUGGAGACACCCUCUGGAGGAUGAGAGUUCACCUUGGACAGUGCAGCGCCACCGAGCUCCUAAAAGAACGUGGUCAUGUUACUGCAGUCAACCCACAAAAUCAUGAGAAACAAUAAAUCACUGUUUUCAGUCAUUAUUUUGGGGGGUGGUUAAUUACAUGGCAAUAGAAAACUGAAACAGAAAGUAGUACCUGGAAGUGGGGUGCUGCUGUAACGGAAACCUAAAGCUGGUGAUUUUGAGAUUGAGCCAUGGAGGAAGGCUGGAAGGGUGGCAAAGGCAGUGAGCAAAUGGAAUGCUGGAAAGAUGGUCAUCUGUGUUGUAAAGCCGGGGAACAACUGGUAAAGCUGAUGACUGCGGUAACAUGUAAGAUAGAAAAUGUACUUAAUGAACUUGUGGAUCUGUCCAAAGGAAACUUCCAAGUAGAAUGCCAAAGGGGCUAAUCUGCUUCUUUUAGCUGCCUGUCAUACAAUAUGGGAAGGAAGGAUGAACGAGAAUUUCAGUUUUCAAGCAGAAAAAAUAAUAAAUGGCCUCAGCAUGCUGCCAGCCAAACGUGAUCUUAGUCAAGAUCAAGUUGAGGGUGUGGCUGUAAGACCUAUUUUAAGACCUCAGAGCCCAAAAUGCAGAGGGCCCGUUCCCAAGAGAUGUGUGGAUCGGUGUGUGACUCUUGUCUAAUGGAGUAGAUUAUAAUUUACCAUACAGAACAUCCACAGCAUUUUAAAAGGAACUGUACACACUUAAAGGAACAAAGACAGUUGAAAAUGAAAAGAGGCCUCUGGGCUCCCACCUUUCCAUGCGCAAGAAGCAGACUGAGAAAUCAGCCUCAAAGAUGAACCAUUUCUCAUGGAAAAUGAAAAAGGUCUCAGAGGACAGAGCCAACAGCUAAGAACAAUGGAUUGAGGAAAAAGUGAACAUAUUAGAAAAUUCAUAAACAAGAUCAUUUCAAAUGGCAAGAAAAAAAAAAAGAACAAGGUGAUGUGAUGGUAAUGUGGCGGGGUGUGGUGGAGGAGGGAGCAGAAGCAGGCCCCAAUCAAGCAAUAGUCCCUCCCUCCAGACCUAGGGAAACUGGCAACAUGUGUACAGCUGGCUUUUAGAACUGCUAAGGACCCGUGCCUGCUACGUGCCUUUAAUGUCCUCCCCCUGAGAACGGGAGCAUCUGCUGCUAUCUUAUCCCUCUCUCACCACUGCAUGUGGGGUUGGGGGAGGGGGGUUGGUGAUGGUGGCAGAUAACUUGAAUUUUUAGUUCACAGGUUUCCAGACUGAGAAAAGCCACACCCAAGCAACCUCAUCCACAGCCAGACCUGAUCCAAAUGAUGAAAUUCUGGGCACCGAGCAGCUGCCAUACUGGGUGAGACUUUGGGAGGUACUGGAAGAGAUGAAUGUGUUUUGCAUAAGGGAGAAAUGCCAGUAAUUUAUGGCCAGAGGAUGGAUUGUGAUAGAUGAUAAAGAUGGCCACAAAGGGCUUCCCUGGUGGUGCAGUGGUUAAGAAUCCGCCUGCCAACGCAGGGGACACGGGUUCGAGCCCUGGUCCGGGAAGAUCCCAUAUGCUGCAGAGCAACUAAGCCCGUGAGCCACAACUACUGAGCCUGCGCUCUAGAGCCCGCAAGCCACAACUACUGAGCCAACGCGCCACAACUACUGAAGCCCGCGCAGCUAGAGCCUGUGCUCCGCAACAAGAGAAGCCACCACAAUGAGAAGCCCACGCACCGCAAUGAAGAGUAGACCCCGUUCGACCCAUCUAAAGAAAGCCCAUGCACAGCAACAAAGACCCAAUGCAGCCAAAAAUAAAUUAAAUAAAAUAAAUAAAAAAAUAGAAAGUAAAAAGAUGGCCACAAAAUCUUUUGUGUCCUUGCAUAGAGACCAGAAGUCUAUUUCUCCUCCCCUUGAGUCUAGGCUGGCUUCGUGACCUGUUUUGACAAAUAGAAGCAGCAGAAGUGAUACUGUGCCAGGUCUUAAAAGACUGUGCAGCUUCCACGUUUGCCCUCUUGGAGCCCCAAGCCACAUGGAAAGAGGUUCAGCCACCCAGAUGGAGAGCUGAAAGGUGCCUGGCUAAAAGAAAACUGUUUCUCUGCUCGUAGACCUUCUGACGCCAAGUGUGUAGAUUUUCCACACCAAGCAAUUCUCCAAUUCUCUGUGCACACGAAGUGGUGUCCCACAGUUUAAUUCAAUUCUGACAUUAUUAAUCUAGAGUUAGCACGCAGGUUAAGGGAUCAGUCCCACUAUGCAAAUAGUGGGUCCCCAGGUUACCCACACUUCUGUCCAACUUCUAUCCAACUUCUGUCCAACUUCUGGCUACGAAUCAGGAGUUCCCACGACCCUCCCCUCAGGUUUGAUAAUUUGCUAUAAUGGCUCAGAACUCAGGGAAACACUCUGCUUACUAUUAUUGGCUUAUUAUAAAGGAUACUGUAAAGGGUACAGAGGAACAGCCAAAAGAAGAGGUACAUGGGGUGGGAUCUGGAAGAAUCCUGAGCACAGGAGCUUCUGUCCCGUGAAUUUGGGGUGUGCAUCCUCCCGGCACAUAGACAUGUUCACUAAACUAGAAGCUCUCUGAACAAUCUAUAGUUUAGUCACUUUAGGAAGGUCCCAUUUUGUAGGUAUGAUUGAUUAAAUCACUGGCCAUUGAUCAUUAACUCAGUCUCCAGCUUCUCUCCUCUCCAUGGAGGCUGGGGGUGGGACUGAAAGUUCUAAUCCUCUAGUCACUUGGUUGGUUCCUCUGGUGACCAGCCUGUAUCCUGGGGCUUUUGGCCACCAUUCAUCUUAUUAACAUAAACUCAAGCAUGGUUGAAAAGGGUUUAUUAUGAUUAACAAAGACCCUUCUCUCACCACACCACUCAGGAAAUCACAAAAAUUUUAAGAGCUCUGUGACAGGAACUGGGACGAAGACCAAAUAUAGAUGUCUUAUUUUAUCACAGUGUCACAUUGGCCAAGCCCUUGAUGUUCCAGCUGUCACAGUGAGACACCAGACUUGUGGGAAAACCUGUCUUGAAUUCCCAGCCGCAGGCAAAGAGCUGUCCUGCUAAGUCCAGCGAACCCAAAUUGCACAACUGUCUUGAGAUCAUCCUGCAUGGACCCCAUCGCUGGUGAGCGCUUUUCUGCCCCUGAAAUCCUUUUAAGCCUGGGGAAAAGAGAGUAAGGAGAAAGUGGAAUGUGAAAGCAGCAAUCAGCUGGAAAUUCUGUCAGAUAAACAAUGAACGUGGAAUACUUAGGAAUACUGAGGAGCUUCAAGAUGGCGGAAGGGUAAGACACGGAGAUCACCUUCCUCUCCACAAAUACAUCAGAAAUACAUCUACACGUGGAACAACUCCUAAAGAACACCUACUGAACGCUGGCAGACGAACUCAGACCUCCCAAAACGCAAGAAACUCCCCACAUACCUCGGUAGGGCUAAAGAAAACAAGAAAAAACAGAGACAAAAGAAUAGGGACGGGACCUGCAGCAGUGGGAAGGAGCUGUGAAGGAGGAAAAGUUUCCACACACUAGGAAGCCCCUUUGCGGAUGGAGAAUGCGAGUGGCGGAGGGGGAAAGCUUCGAAGCCGCGGAGGAGAGCACAGCAACAGGAGUGCGGGGGGCAAAGUGGGGCCGACGGGCACUCACCAGUCCGAGACGCUUGUCUGCUCCCCCGCCGGGGCAGGCGGGGCUGGGAGCUGAGGCUCGGGCUUUGGUCGGAGUGCAGGGAGAGGGCUGGGGUUGGCGGCAUGAACACAGCCUGAAGUGGGUUAGUGCACCACGGCUAGCCGGGAGGGAGUCCGGGAAAAAAGUCUGGAGCUGCCGAAGAGACAAGAGACUUUUUCUUGUCUCUGUUUCCUGGUGCGCGAGGAGAGGGGAUUAAGAGCGGCACUUAAAGGAGCUCCAGAGACAGGCACGAGCCACAGCUAUCAGCGCGGACCCCAGAGAUGGGCAUGACACGCUAAGGCUGCUGCUGCCACCACAAAGAAGCCUGUGUGUGAGCACAGGUCACUCUCCACACCCCCUUCUGAGGAACCUGUGCAGCCCGCCACUGCCAAGGUCCCGGGAUCCAGGGACAACUUCCCCGGGAGAGCACACGGCGCGCCUCAGGCUAGUGCAACGUCACGCUGGCCUCUGCCGCCACAGGCUCGCCCCACAUCCGUACCCCUCCCUGCCCCCGGCGUGAGUGAGCCAGAGUCCCCGAAUCAGCUGCUCCUUUAACCCCAUCCUGUCUGAGUGAAGAACAGAUGCCCUCAGGUGACCUACUCGCAGAGGCGGGGCCAAAUCCAAAGCUGAACCCCAGGAGCUGUGCAAAC